GGAAACCAUAGCAACGAGCAGCUAGAAGACGCCGGCCAUUCAUCUCCCUUUUGUUCCUUGCCUUGCAUGUGGACUCUCCAAUUACAGCUUCCAGGUGGUGCCCAUCCUUCCAUGGACUACAAUCUGAGCAGCCAGAAGACUAGAAGAUUUGCUCAAGAAAAUCUAGCUAGUCAUAAUGGGCAGAACAUGACUUUGAACUCAGAUCAACAUGUCCAUAUCCCCUUGGCAACUGCUGCUCCAACAUGCGCAAUGGGGGUUCUCCUGUAAGCACACCCAGUCUCCUCCCGAGGGCCUUCUCCCUGCCCACUCAGGACACGCUGGAAGUUCUGGCAGUUACUGCCUCAACAGCAGCAAUUACCCAAUGAUGGGUGGGAGCUGGAAGGCAAAUACCCCAGCUUUUUUACCUCUUCAGUGGGAUAACCCUGAGCUAUCUUCUACAACAUCUCCCAGAAGUCCCCAGUGAGACUGCAUUCCAGUUGCUCACAGUGUUAACUUGCUCAAUAAAACCUUUUCUUGGCUUUUUCUCCUUUUCUCUGUCACUUCCCCACUCUCCUACUAGUAGUUCUUGAGAUGAGCUACCAAAUAAAUU
rnacentral:lncRNA from 1 species